GCCUUUGUGGAUCGCGGCGAUCAUCCAUUCCUCAUAAAUAGUUUCCAUUGUGGAAUGAAUCUAAAUGGACGGCGGGGGUUCGAUUCCCUCCGAGAGCA